AAAUAAUGAGGUUGACUUGCAUGAAGACUCAGAAGUAGCAUGACCCAGUUUGGAGACCACCAAAGUCAGGGAAUUUCAUUCAGAAGAAGGAUAGACUACUUAACGUAUUUGAAGAAAUUGAGAAGAAAUAUGCACUGGGGGAUAUUUGAACAUUGAAUUCAUGUGUCUUCAUUGAAAACUUUUUAUGGAAGCAUGUAACUUGCGUACCCAAAGGGUACAUAUCAUAAACAUACAACUUGAUAUUUUUCACAAAAAUGAACACAGCCUUGUAACUACCUUCAAGAGAAAGAAAUGGAAGAUUCCAGAAUAUUCCCUCAUGGGAUGGCUUCAUCUACCCCCUUCCAAUUGCUACCCACAAGGGUAACCCUUUUCCAUUUCUAACAUGUAGAUUCAUGUUGACCAUUUUGUAUUUUAUAUAAAUGGAGUCAUACAGUAUGUCA